CAGUGUCUGUGUGGUCCAGAGCGAGAUCUUGUUUUCCAUCUUCAUCAGGAUCGUUGUAGUCAUGGUCUUAAGAGGUUAGAGUGGAAUUUGAG